AGUGAACGCUGGCGGUGUGCCUAAUACAUGCAAGUCGAACGGCCGGACAGUAAGCUUUUUCCCUUACCGGUGGCGGGUGGCGGGUGGGUGAGGAAUACAUCAGAUUCUUAUUUUUCGGGGGGGAUAACGUGAGGACACUUCCGAUACUACCUAAUAUGUCCUACCGCUGAAUUCAAGAGUGCAUCAGACUUUUGCUGUCUCUAAUAGAUGGAGUCGCGGUAGAUAAUUGGGUGGGUAAGGUCCCACCAAGGCGACGAUCCGUAGUUGGUCCGAGAGGAUGAUCGGCCACACUGGAACUGAGACACGGUCCAGACUCCUACGGGAGGCAGCAGUAGGGAAUAUUCGGCAAUGGGCGCAAGCCUGACGGAGCAACGCCGCGUGAGUGAUGAAGGUCUUCGGAUCGUAAAACUCUGUUAUUAGGGAAGAAAAAAAGUAUAAGUAAAUAUGGACGUCUUGACGGUACCUAAUCAGAAAGCAACGGCUAACUACGUG
rnacentral:rRNA from 1 species